CGUAAAACAGCCUCGACUUCCCAGUUGGCUCUGCAGCAAAAGAGAGGGUGGCACCAUUUGGGUUAAGUUUAUGUUUGCCGAACGUGAUAAAAACGUGACGAAAAAGAAGCAGGCAAUGUUUACCGUUUGUUAAGCUAUUUAUCGAUCAAUAUUAUUUAUCGCGGAUUCUGGAAUAAUUUCAGAAAUUAUUUUUUAAGCACGGAGAACACGGAAGUGCUAUGCUGCUUUAAAGUUUGUAACUGUUAGUCGCAAGUUAGAGUUUUUGCAAACGUUUCCAAAAACAAAUAACGUUACCUCGUUCAUUGCCAUGAAGACUGUUUUGAAGUGGAUUGUUUGGCUAAUAUUAGUGACACUGUUUCCUGAAGGAAUAUUCUCUCAGAGUGUUUCAGUAUUGGUAAACCAGCGAGAUACACUC